rnacentral:rRNA from 1 species
GACGAACGCUGGCGGCGUGCUUAACACAUGCAAGUCGAACGGAAAGGCCCUGCUUUUGUGGGGUGCUCGAGUGGCGAACGUGUGAGUAACACGUGAGUAACCUGCCCUUGACUUUGGGAUAACUUCAGGAAACUGGGGCUAAUACCGGAUAGGAGCUCCUGCUGCAUGGUGGGGGUUGGAAAUUUUCGGCGGUUGGGGAUGGACUCGCGGCUUAUCAGCUUGUUGGUGAGGUAGUGGCUUACCAAGGCGUUGACGGGUAGCCGGCCUGAGAGGGUGACCGGCCACAUUGGGACUGAGAUACGGCCCAGACUCCUACGGGAGGCAGCAGUGGGGAAUAUUGCACAAUGGGCGGAAGCCUGAUGCAGCAACGCCGCGUGCGGGAUAACGGCCUUCGGGUUGUAAACCGCUUUCGCCUGUGACGAAGCGUGAGUGACGGUAAUGGGUAAAGAAGCACCGGCUAACUACGUG